ACUAAAGUGAUGAACAUGAUAUCCGCCCCAGUCUGAAUUUUGUGACUGAGUUGAUAUAACUGAUUUAGU
rfam:Octopus bimaculoides Scaffold264880_contig_1, whole genome shotgun sequence.